AGCCUCAUAGCUCAGCUGGAAGAGCGUUCGUGGUACUAAAGCGAGGGUGGCAACCACACGUGGAUUCAACUCCCGCUGUGGUCA
rnacentral:tRNA from 1 species